rnacentral:rRNA from 1 species
UACGGAGGGCGCAAGCGUUGUUCGGAAUUACUGGGCGUAAAGGGCGUGUAGGCGGCUUGGUAAGUCGGGUGUGAAAUCCCGAGGCUCAACCUCGGAACUGCAUUCGAAACUGCCUGGCUCGAGUCCCGGAGAGGGUGGCGGAAUUCCCAGUGUAGAGGUGAAAUUCGUAGAUAUUGGGAGGAACACCGGCGGCGAAGGCGGCCACCUGGACGGUGACUGACGCUGAGACGCGAAAGCGUGGGGAGCAAACAGG